rnacentral:rRNA from 1 species
CGCCUACAUGAAGUCGGAAUCGCUAGUAAUCGCGGAUCAGCAUGUCGCGGUGAAUACGUUCCCGGGUCUUGUACACACCGCCCGUCACACCAUGGGAGUGGGUUGCACCAGAAGUAGCUAGUCUAACCUUCGGGAGGACGGUUACCACGGUGUGAUUCAUGACUGGGGUGAAGUCGUAACAAGGUAGCCGUAGGGGAACCUGCG